rnacentral:rRNA from 1 species
UUGAACGCUGGCGGCAGGCCUAACACAUGCAAGUCGAGCGGAUGAGUGGAGCUUGCUCCAUGAUUCAGCGGCGGACGGGUGAGUAAUGCCUAGGAAUCUGCCUGGUAGUGGGGGACAACGUUUCGAAAGGAACGCUAAUACCGCAUACGUCCUACGGGAGAAAGCAGGGGACCUUCGGGCCUUGCGCUAUCAGAUGAGCCUAGGUCGGAUUAGCUAGUUGGUGAGGUAAUGGCUCACCAAGGCGACGAUCCGUAACUGGUCUGAGAGGAUGAUCAGUCACACUGGAACUGAGACACGGUCCAGACUCCUACGGGAGGCAGCAGUGGGGAAUAUUGGACAAUGGGCGAAAGCCUGAUCCAGCCAUGCCGCGUGUGUGAAGAAGGUCUUCGGAUUGUAAAGCACUUUAAGUUGGGAGGAAGGGUAGUAACCUAAUACGUUGCUACUUUGACGUUACCGACAGAAUAAGCACCGGCUAACCUCGUG